rnacentral:tRNA from 1 species
UCCUUGGUGUCUCAGAGGAUAAAGUGUCUGCCUACAAUGCAGGAAACCCGGGUUCAAUUCCUGGAAGGAA